rnacentral:rRNA from 1 species
UAGGGAAUCUUCCGCAAUGGACGAAAGUCUGACGGAGCAACGCCGCGUGAGUGAAGAAGGAUUUCGGUUCGUAAAACUCUGUUGUUAGGGAAGAAAAAAUGUAUAGUAACUAUAUACAAAAGAGACGGUACCUAACCAGAAAGCCACGGCUAACUACGUGCCAGCAGCCGCGGUAAUACGUAGGUGGCAAGCGUUGUCCGGAAUUAUUGGGCGUAAAGCGCGCGCAGGUGGUUUAGAAAGUCUGAUGGUAAAGCCCACGGCUCAACCGUGGAGGGUCAUUUGAAACUAAUAAACGUGAAUGGAGGAGAGAAAAGUGGAAUUCCUAGUGUAGCGGUGAAAUGCGUAGAAAUUAGGAGGAACACCGGUGGCGAAAGCGGCUUUUUGGCCUGCAACUGACACUGAGGCGCGUAAGCGUGGGGAGCAAGCAGG